UCGCGGCCUAUCAGCUUGUUGGUGAGGUAACGGCUCACCAAGGCAUCGACGGGUAGCUGGUCUGAGAGGAUGAUCAGCCACACUGGGACUGAGACACGGCCCAGACUCCUACGGGGGGCAGCAGUGGGGAAUCUUGCGCAAUGGGCGAAAGCCUGACGCAGCAACGCCGCGUGCGGGAAGAAGGCCCUCGGGUUGUAAACCGCUUUCAGCAGGAACGAAAAUGACGGUACUUGCAGAAGAAGGUGCGGCCAACUACGUGCCAGCAGCCGCGGUGACACGUAGGCACCAAGCGUUGUCCGGAUUUAUUGGGCGUAAAGAGCUCGUAGGCGGUUCGGUAAGUCGGGUGUGAAAACUUUGGGCUUAACCCAAAGCCUGCAUCCGAUACUGCUGUGACUAGAGUUCGGUAGGGGAGCGGGGAAUUCCUAGUGUAGCGGUGAAAUGCGCAGAUAUUAGGAGGAACACCGGUGGCGAAGGCGCCGCUCUGGGCCGAUACUGACGCUGAGGAGCGAAAGCGUGGGUAGCAAACAGGAUUAGAUACCCUGGUAGUCCACGCCGUAAACGUUGGGCACUAGGUGUGGGUCUCAACCAACGAGAUCCGCGCCGUCGCUAACGCAUUAAGUGCCCCGCCUGGGGAGUACGG
rnacentral:rRNA from 1 species